GACGAACGCUGGCGGCGUGCUUAACACAUGCAAGUCGAACGGAAAGGCCCUGCUUUUGUGGGGUGCUCGAGUGGCGAACGGGUGAGUAACACGUGAGUAACCUGCCCUUGACUUUGGGAUAACUUCAGGAAACUGGGGCUAAUAUCGGAUAGGAGCUCCUGCUGCACGGUGGGGGUUGGAAAGUUUCGGCGGUUGGGGAUGGUCUCGCGGCUUAUCCGCUUGUUGGUGGGGUAGUGGCUUACCAAGGUUUUGACGGGUAGCCGGCCUGGGAGGGUGACCGGCCACAUUGGGACUGAGAUACGGCCCAGACUCCUACGGGAGGCAGCGGUGGGGAAUAUUGCACAAUGGGCGGAAGCCUGAUGCAGCAACGCCGCGUGCGGGAUGACGGCCUUCGGGUUGUAAACCGCUUUCGCCUGUGACGAAGCGUGAGUGACGGUAAUGGGUAAAGAAGCACCGGCUAACUACGUG
rnacentral:rRNA from 1 species